rnacentral:rRNA from 1 species
CCCUUAGAUGUUCUGGGCUGCACGCGUGCUACAAUGGCGCUUGCAACAAGUCUUGCCAACCCGAUAGGGUGAGCGGAUCUUUGAAGAGGCGUCGUGAUCGGGACAGUUGAUUGCAAUUAUUCGACUCGAACGAGGAAUUCCUUGUAAUCGCGAUUCAUCAUAUCGCGCUGAAUACGUCCCUGCCCUUUGUACACACCGCCCGUCACUCCUACCGAUUGAGCGAUCCGGUGAAUGUUUUGGACUGGCGUCAGAAGCGGUUCGCUCCUGACACUACGAAAUUUUGUAAACCUUAUCGCUUAGAGGAAGGAAAAGUCGUAACA